UUGGUUUGGUUUGGUUUGGUUUGGUUUGGUUUGGUUUGGUUUGGUUUGGAAGUGGAAUCAUGGAAAUACCUGGCCUUUGGUGUGUGGCCUUUUCACUCAGCAUAAUGUGUUUGAAGUUCCACCACAUUGUGGCAUGUUUUAGAACUUUAUUCCUGCCCUCUCUUGACUCAAUAAUAUUUUUUGCGUAUCCACUCUUCUGUUGAUGGAUACUGAGGUUGUUUCUACCAUGUAACGAUUGUGAACCGGGUGACAGUGAAGAUGGGCAGAAAGUAUCCUGUGAUUCCCUGCUUCCAUUUCUCUGGGGUUUAUAAGUACGAAUGGGAUUUCUGGAUCAUAUGUCAUUGGCUUGUAACAUCACCUUGUCCUUAUUCCAUGAUGGCCUCAGGCCUGAGGGUCGUGGAGUCCCCAGCACUGGGAUGGCCAUGUUACAGUAUGUCACAAGGCUCCUGGUCCACUUGUGCCCCACAAGCUCAUUCCAAUUUGUGGCCAGCGGGUGAUGGUGGCAAGAGCGGUGGGCAGGGAAUGGGGCUGCUGCCAGAGCAGAGCCCCUGCGCCUACCUCCUUGAAGAAUUGCCCAAGUGUUUUCCACAACCACUGUACCUCGUCUGUGCCUCCACAGCUAUACAACACAAGGAUGCUGCCUUCUUCGCUUGUCAUUUUCCUGUAAAUACAAUAAGAACAUAGUCAUCCUGCCCAGCAAAGGACCACGUGGUAGCUGCUCCAUCAGCGCGGGUCCUGGAGCAAGGACAACUCAAAAGAGAGCUCCAAUCUAACCCAAGAUAACCACUCAGCAGUAAACAAGAUCUGUUACCAUGCCAUCCAGACCGGCGUAGAGAUCCGAUGGGUAAGAAUCACAGAGGGUUUUGAAGGCUGGGGCCCUUCUCUUUCCCUUUCUUAAAAAAAAAAAAGAGGUUUUUAUUAUUUCAAUUUUAUUGUUUUCCUUUA